AAACCAUGAUGAGGGCAGUCUCUCUCAUACUCCUUGAAUCGCUUCUAGGCUUCAUAGAAUGAUUCUAUCGGGCCUUGUUGGAAACUUUAUAUAUUGUAUCUCAGCU
rfam:Eutrema salsugineum unplaced genomic scaffold scaffold_21, whole genome shotgun sequence.